GAGCCUCAUGUGCAGAGCAGACCUUGGGGCUUGGCAGGGAAGGAGGGGGUUGGGGUGAGCCAGAGGAGGCAGAAUCAGAAGGAAGCUGUGUCUAGGAGACUUUAAGUAGAAGUGAAAAGGGAGAGCCAGACAGGGACCGCACAAGUCAGGUACCACUGGAUAGAUGUCUUCUGGGCAGAUGAGCUUUGUGGUUAUGUUGACUGAGACAAGUCUCCCUCCUAAUGGGAUGAGUCAGAUCUUCCCUUCCAGUUCCAUCCAGGGGCUUAGAGCCCACAUCUAGAAAAAGGAGACUCUCGGCUCUUUAACGAGGAGUGUAAUUGCAGUGUGUGUGUUUCCACCUAUCAGUUAAUCAUGAGUAAUGAGGUAAAAUACAUCUUGAAGGGACUGAUUCAGAUGCUCUGAAAGAUGCUCUGGUCAUCAGGAACAGUGAUCGUCUUCUGUAAGUGAGCUGCGUGAGGAUAGGUACAGAGUGUCUUGGUCAUCCAAUGAUUUACACCAAUCAAGAAAAAUAUCCAGGAAUUAUGGAUUUAAUCCUAGCAACAAAAGGUUGGGGAGCUGAGGGGUUUGUUUCACCAAGAAUCUGCAGCAUGAGAAGGCACAUUUCCCAUCACCUCCUGAGACCAGUGACAUCUGACUCCACGCUUACAGAAGCUCAGCCAUGUUUUCACACCUGGUUAAGUGUCCGUGUUUCCUGGCAUCCCAACGAGAAGGUGAGGUUUCUUAUCUCUUCUGUGAAUUCAGUAUUUUUCAACCCAAGAAAAGUUCGGAGAUGACAUGUGAAAUUUUAUCAGCCAAGAUAAACAAUCUUCUAUUCUAAACCAAAAUAUUUUGUGGGACUGGCAAACCUCCUGAACUCACUGGGAGGUUUACUGAGCGAGGGUGGAAGUGGACAGUUAACUCAACCAGGGGUGUCUAACUCAAGGUAUUGCCAGCAUUUCUUUGUAUUAACAAGUUAACAAUUCAGGAGGUUUCAGCCAGACAACAGUAUUGUUAUUAAACCAUACUCACAUGCUUGCAAGAUUCACUGUGUAUCUUUUCCUGGGUUGCUCUGCACUGUGAUCUCAAGUAGAAAGUUGCCAAACAAUUACCCUUCAUGUUACCUGCAGGUGCUGUUAGUUUUGCUGUUGUGCCUUUGAUAUUUCCUCACAUUUUUUCCCCUCUGCCCUUUCACUCCAGAGUUGAAAGCUCUUGCAAAAACCAAGAAGUUUCAGUGCAUAAAGGUCUUUUUUGGGGCACUCCUGUCUCUGUUGUAUAUACAUAAAUAAGUAAGCUGGAGAAUCCCAAGGGCAUGAGAAAUAUUCAAAAGAGCAGAGAUCUCAUUUGCAAUCACAAUUCCAAUUCUCUGCAGGAAGAUGAUGCGCUACUUAGGGAGAAAGACGGAAAGACCCAGGAAUGGAAACGGACACUUUCUUCAGAAAUCUGAGUAGCUGUAUUGAAAGGCCAGUGGGGAAGGGUCGCCAAUAAUUCAUAUUCCAGGCAAAGAAAGGAUCUUGGCUUGUCUCCGUGAACAACUCCAGGUUAAGAAAGGGGAAAAAUACCCCAAUAUUUCUCUAUCUGUGUCAUCCGGGGCAGAGGUGAGGUCUUCGCAGACCUCGGAGCAGCCUCCUCCCUGUGUUUUCUCUAAGAGCUCAGGUCAGAGGAUACACCCCUCUGACUUGGAUAUACGCAGCUUCCCUUCACUGCUUGUGUGUGGAGUUGUGGGAUGUGUUCUGAGAAGCCGUUGUUUGCUCUUAUUUCCUUGAUUAUUUUCCGCUCCACACGAAGCCUUUUCUCUGAGGAGCUCAGGGCCACAUGCCACAAUUAAAGGACUUAAUUUGAAGUUCAAUUAUGUCUUGCCGGGUCAGUGAUCUGUGAGCCAAAUUAUCGAGAUCCUGCUGAUGACCUGACAAGGAGAAAGCCAACCAGGGCAAUUGGAACCAGGAAGAGGUGAAGGAAAUGUGGAAACAUGAAGAUGGGUUUGUGAGAGAAAGACUUGCCAGGAGCCAGAGGGUUCACAGCGAGGUCAUGGUGUAGUCAGGGGCCGAUUAGAAAGGGACAGGAGGAAAGGAGCCCAGGUUUGGGGAAAGCCAAUGAAGAGGUGCAAUCGAGCUGAGAGGGAGAAGAAAGAGUCAGUCAGGCAGGCAGAAAACACGUGAAACAGUCCAGGUUCUGAGUUCUCACCAACAGCAUUUCUUUUCUAAACUACCUCUUAUUCACAGUAGCCAGAGGAUAUGGGCAAUGGUUAUUAAUAGAAAUAUUAAUGGAUAACCUUCUUAUCAUUGAUAAUAAUGACAAUAGUAAAAUUGUCUUUAUUCAACAUCAAGGUGGACUGAACACAUAUAGUUCAAUAAGAACAAUAUGCAAUGGGAAAACUAGAAAGAGCUUUUAGAAAUUAAUAAUAGUUUAAAAAUAUUUAAUAGAGAGGGGAAAAAUUAAAAAUUGUUCAAAAGGUAGAAGAACGAAGAUGACUUUUAUCCUCAUCAAAGGAGAAAAAGAAGAAAAGUACAGUAAGUAAUACAUAAGUAUUUUACUUACAAUCCAGUAAGUAAAACAUCUAAUUAAUGGGAAUUCCAGAAAGAUAAACAGAGAAAAAAGAAGGGAGAAAAUUAUCAAAGAUAUAAUCCAAGAAAAAAUGUCAAAACUGAAGGACCUGAGUUUCUACACUGAUUCCAAAAUACUAAAAACAGAAAAAUACAAAGAAAGGUACCCAAGACCCAUUAAUAUGAAAUUCCAGAGCAACAAAAAUAAAGAAAAAACCUGAGAGGCUUCUACAGAUUAAAAAAAGUACAAACCAAACACACACAU